rnacentral:rRNA from 1 species
GACGAACGCUGGCGGCGUGCUUAACACAUGCAAGUCGAACGGAAAGGCCCUGCUUUUGUGGGGUGCUCGAGUGGCGAACGGGUGAGUAACACGUGAGUAACCUGCCCUUGACUUUGGGAUAACUUCAGGAAACUGGGGCUAAUACCGGAUAGGAGCUCCUGCUGCAUGGUGGGGGUUGGAAAGUUUCGGCGGUUGGGGAUGGACUCGCGGCUUAUCAGCUUGUUGGUGGGGUAGUGGCUUACCAAGGCUUUGACGGGUAGCCGGCCUGAGAGGGUGACCGGCCACAUUGAGACUGAGAUACGGCCCAGACUCCUACGGGAGGCAGCAGUGGGGAAUAUUGCACAAUGGGCGGAAGCCUGAUGCAGCAACGCCGCGUGCGGGAUGAUGGCCUUCGGGUUGUAAACCGCUUUCGCCUGUGACGAAGCGUGAGUGACGGUAAUGGGUAAAGAAGCACCGGCUAACUACGUG